rnacentral:rRNA from 1 species
UGGUUGUUGGUUGAGCCACAUGCAUCGGAUUCCAUUAGAACUCCCAAGUUAAGCGAGUUUGGGCAAGAGUAGUACAAGGAUGAGUGACCUCCUAGGAAGUCCUCGUAUUGCAUCCC